ACUUGUAUGAACGGCUAAAUGAGGACAAACCUGUCUCAUGUGACCAAUCAGUGAAACUGAUCUCCCAGUCCAAAAGCUGGAAUAACAACAUAAGACGAGAAGACCCUGUGGAGCUUCAAACCAACCACUAAUAAGCAGGACAACUGCACCUAGUGCACGGUUUUAAGUUGGGGCGACUUUGGAACAAAACAAAACUUCCAAGCACAGAACCACACAUUCCACUACGGCCAACAAGCCAAAGUAUAAAAAGACAGACCCAGUAAUACUGAUCAACGAACCAAGUUACCCCAGGGAUAACAGCGCUAUCUUCUUCAAGAGUCCCUAUCGACAAGAAGGUUUACGACCUCGAUGUUGGAUCAGGACACCCAAAUGGUGCAGCCGCUAUUAAAGGUUCGUUUGUUCAACGAUUAACAGUCCUACGUGAUCU
rnacentral:rRNA from 1 species